ensembl:snRNA U6 U6 spliceosomal RNA
GUUCACACCCACCAGACAUGUACUAAAACUGAAAGGAGACAGAGAAGAUUAGCAUGGCCCUGAACAAGGAGAACAUGGACAUUUGUGAAGCCCUCCCUAUUGAA